AACGAAGCCAGACCUCGGACGCCGGGGAGGCGUGGAGUCGUCGGCAGUUCGUGCCUGUACGGGGCCGGCAAGAGCCAGGAUAGUCUGUCACCCGUCCCGGAAUGAGGGGGGGAUAUCCGGGGACAUCACAUGCAGCGUCCAGCCCAGAGGAUCCUGCAAUCUCUUUUCAUAGGGACAUCACAUGCGGCGUUCAGCCCAGAGGAUCCUGCGAUCUGCACCGCAGAGUAAGUAACCAACAGUAAGUAUGUGUUCUAGAAUAAGUAAUGGGGCUUACGGCUGGGAGAUGCUUCGGUUGUAACCAGGAAAAGAAUAAUUCUUGUGUCCACCUCCUUUCAUAGGGACAUCACAUGCGGCGUUCAGCCCAGAGGAUCCUGCGAUCUGCACAGCAGAGUAAGUAAUCAACAGUAAGUAGGUGUUCUUGAAUAAGUAAUGGGGCUUACGG
ensembl:lncRNA